rnacentral:rRNA from 1 species
UACAGAGGUCUCAACCGUUGUUCGGAUUCAUUGGGCGUAAAGGGUGCGUAGGCGGUCGUGCAAGUCGGAUGUGAAAUCUCAGGGCUCAACCCUGAAACUGCAUUCGAUACUGCGUGGCUAGAGUGCUGGAGAGGAGACUGGAAUUUACGGUGUAGCAGUGAAAUGCGUAGAUAUCGUAAGGAACACCUGUGGCGAAAGCGGCGCACUGGACCAUAACUGACGCUGAUGUGCGAAAGCUAGGGGAGCAAACAGG